CUGUCCUGAAGAAAACUGCAAAGGAGGUGCUAUGCAGCCUUGAAGUUCUUUACAGUGAAGAUAUCAAAGUGCUCCAUUGGGACAUCAAACCCCAGAAUGUUCUGAUUGAUAUAACUGGUAAGGCGAGAUUAGCUGAUUUUGGUAUAAGCCGGAGGCUGAAUUUAGGACAAACAACUUUGCACACUAGUGCUGCUGGAACAAAGUGCUGGAAAGCCAGAGAGACCAUUGAAGAGGACGAUAACAGUGCAUACAAGAGGAGUUCUGACAUUCAGGUUGCAGGAAUGUUAGUGUAUUACAUCCUCUCUCGUGGACACCAUCCUUUUGGUAAAGGGGCUCGUUGUGAAAUUAACAUUCUUGAUGGGAAAUACUCACUGGAACAUCUGCAAGAUGAUGUGGCAAAGGACCUGGUGGAGUGGAUGAUCAAUGAAGAUGUAAAGGACAGACCUAAAGUAAAGGAGGCCCUCGCUCAUCCCUUCUUUUGGACAGAUGAAAAAUAAGAUUUGCCUGCUGAAAUUGUUGAACUUGCUUGGCCUACUGCGAUUCAUACAGCAUCUGUAUGAACACUACUCUGAUGAUGCAGAAAAAGUAAACCUGAUGACCAUAUUCCCUGACCUUUUUGGAAAUGCUUUCAAGUUUGCCAAAGUGAGAGGAUGGAACUCUACACCAAGUCUGAGAAAAUGGCUCAGAUCUGUACCGGUGAUAUGAUGACUGAACAACAUGAAUUAAAGGUUAAAUGAUGUGACCUCAUCAGUUUUUGGUUUUCACCAGCAUUAUGAUAUCAGCAUUAUAAAACAAUUAUUCAAAUCUGUAAUGAGAUAAAGUGAUUUGAAGUGGAAGUAAGCACUUUUAUGUAUUUUCAUCACUUCCCAAUACUUUUGUAUUUAAAAGUAAAGUGGAUUCUGGGGUUCUGGGCCAUCAGGUGAUCUGAAACACUUUAAGAGCUUCCAAUUCCACCAUCAGCAUCAUCAACUAAUCUUUUUAAAUAUGUAAAAAGAAAUAAUGUAAACAGAUUAAUUAAAGUGACAGAAGUAAUUUUAAGGGAAACUCCUUUCUUUCACUGUUGUUACUUGGGAAUGCACUAAUAGUAAAAUAUGACUGUUUGAGCGCUGUAACACACAGACCACUUCAGCUGUAAUUGUGAGGAGCACACAUGAUUAGGAUAUGAUGUUAUGAUAUGUGAUGCUAGGAUAGGAGUUUGCUCUGGGCCAGUACAGUUACAUGCCACUUAUCUUGUCACUCACGCUUGGUCACAAGAAAACACCACCACCACCACCAAUCGCUCCACUCAAACAGGAAAGGUAUAAAGCUAUGUUUCAGAUGUUAACGUCUAAGUAUAUUUGGAGACCCAUUUUAGUCCCUGCCCCCUCCCUCAUCGAACCAUGUCGAAAAACUUGGAAGUGCAUCCCCUCGUGGUGACAGCGUAGUAGUGUCGCUUCUCUUGCAGUGGAAAAUGCCACCAGAGCUGUUGCUAAAACGUGGAAGUGUGAAAAUGGUCUAUUUUAUCUAACAUUUAUCGAACAUUUCAUUGAUUUCUAUGGAGGCAAGUUAUAUCACGAUAAUUAUUGUUAUUGUUUUAUCGCCCAGCCCUAUUUAUCAGUUUAUGUUAUGUGGGAAUGUUGUUCUCAUGAACACAGUGCAACAUCAGUUAGCAUCUAAGAUUUUUAUCGAUGAACCCCACUCUUGGUACACACCUAAUUUUACCAAAUAAACUUUUUCUUUACUCAAGGCAAAUUAACUUUAAUUUGUCAGCUUUAUUUCUCUCUUACCUAUUGUCUAUUUUUUCUCUGAGGUCUUAUGUACCACAAAACAAUUAUUAUUCA